UGGAGUCGGAGUCUCGCUCUGCAGUCGUGCGUCGAGCGGCGGACGGGUGAGAUAAUAGCUUAGGAAUCUACCUAGUAGUGGGGGAUAGCACGGGGAAACUCGUAUUAAUACCGCAUACGUCCUACGGGAGAAAGGGGGCAACUUGUUGCUCUCGCUAUUAGAUGAGCCUAAGUCGGAUUAGCUAGAUGGUGGGGUAAAGGCCUACCAUGGCGACGAUCUGUAGCUGGUCUGAGAGGAUGAUCAGCCACACCGGGACUGAGACACGGCCCGGACUCCUACGGGAGGCAGCAGUGGGGAAUAUUGGACAAUGGGGGAAACCCUGAUCCAGCCAUGCCGCGUGUGUGAAGAAGGCCUUUUGGUUGUAAAGCACUUUAAGCAGUGAAGAAGACUCCUCGGUUAAUACCCGUGGACGAUGACAUUAGCUGCAGAAUAAGCACCGGCUAACUCUGUGCCAGCAGCCGCGGUAAUACAGAGGGUGCAAGCGUUAAUCGGAAUUACUGGGCGUAAAGCGAGCGUAGGUGGCUUGAUAAGUCAGAUGUGAAAUCCCCGGGCUUAACCUGGGAACUGCAUCUGAAACUGUUAGGCUAGAGUAGGUGAGAGGGAAGUAGAAUUUCAGGUGUAGCGGUGAAAUGCGUAGAGUCUGAAGGAAUACCGAUGGCGAAGGCAGCUUCCUGGCAUCAUACUGACACUGAGGCUCGAAAGCGUGGGUAGCAAACAGGAUUAGAUACCCUGGUAGUCCACGCCGUAAACGAUGUCUACUAGUCGUUGGGUCCCUUGAGGACUUAGUGACGCAGCUAACGCAAUAAGUAGACCGCCUGGGGAGUACGGCCGCAAGGUUAAAACUCAAAUGAAUUGACGGGGGCCCGCACAAGCGGUGGAGCAUGUGGUUUAAUUCGAUGCAACGCGAAGAACCUUACCUGGUCUUGACAUAUCUAGAAUCCUGCAGAGAUGCGGGAGUGCCUUCGGGAUUAGAAUACAGGUGCUGCAUGGCUGUCGUCAGCUCGUGUCGUGAGAUGUUGGGUUAAGUCCCGCAACGAGCGCACCCUGUC
rnacentral:rRNA from 1 species